UGGGGAAUAUUGCACAAUGGGGGAAACCCUGAUGCAGCGACGCCGCGUGAGCGAAGAAGGCUUUCGAGUCGUAAAGCUCUGUCCUAUGAGAAGAUAAUGACGGUAUCAUAGGAGGAAGCCCUGGCUAAAUACGUGCCAGCAGCCGCGGUAAUACGUAUGGGGCGAGCGUUGUCCGGAAUUAUUGGGCGUAAAGGGUACGUAGGUGGUUUUUUAAGUCAGGUGUCAAAGCGUGGAGCUUAACUCCAUUAAGCACUUGAAACUGAAAGACUUGAGUGAAGGAGAGGAAAGUGGAAUUCCUAGUGUGGCGGUGAAAUGCGUAGAUAUUAGGAGGAAUACCGGUGGCGAAGGCGACUUUCUGGACUUUUACUGACGCUCAGGUACGAAAGCGUGGGGAGCAAACAGG
rnacentral:rRNA from 1 species